ACAAAAGGAGACUCGAAAAAUGUUAUUUCAUGGGCGACAAACUCUUCAGCAUGUUCGUGGAGGCUCCUCCACAUCAUUGUUUAAAUCCGCCAUCUCUGCAGCAAUCCCAAUGUCUCUUGGAAUCACAUAUGGAGGGAAGCCAACUCCGAAGCCAACAAUCUUGCAAGAUCAGGAGCUGCUCUAAACCCAUAAAGAGCCCCCCUAGUCUGGCGAAUCUCCUCUACUAUAGUAAUUUGGAUGCAGUACUCUUUUUGUAAAUUUUUGUGUACACACAUGGCCGUCAAUGUCAC
rnacentral:lncRNA from 1 species